rnacentral:rRNA from 1 species
AUUGAACGCUGGCGGCAUGCUUUACACAUGCAAGUCGAACGGCAGCGCGGGCUUCGGCCUGGCGGCGAGUGGCGAACGGGUGAGUAAUGCAUCGGAACGUGCCCAGUAGUGGGGGAUAGCCCGGCGAAAGCCGGAUUAAUACCGCAUACGACCUGAGGGUGAAAGCGGGGGACCGAAAGGCCUCGCGCUAUUGGAGCGGCCGAUGUCGGAUUAGCUAGUUGGUGGGGUAAAGGCUUACCAAGGCGACGAUCCGUAGCUGGUCUGAGAGGACGACCAGCCACACGGGGACUGAGACACGGCCCAGACUCCUACGGGAGGCAGCAGUGGGGAAUGUUGGACAAUGGGGGCAACCCUGAUCCAGCCAUGCCGCGUGCGGGAAGAAGGCCUUCGGGUUGUAAACCGCUUUUGUUCGGGAAGAAAUCCUCUGGGCUAAUACCCCGGGGGGAUGACGGUACCGGAAGAAUAAGCACCGGCUAACUACGUG